rnacentral:rRNA from 1 species
ACCCGCGGCAAGACGGAAAGACCCCGUGAACCUUUACUAUAGCUUGACACUGAACAUUGAGCCUUGAUGUGUAGGAUAGGUGGGAGGCUUUGAAGUGUGGACGCCAGUCUGCAUGGAGCCGACCUUGAAAUACCACCCUUUAAUGUUUGAUGUUCUAACGUGGACCCGUUACCCGGGUUGCGGACAGUGUCUGGUGGGUAGUUUGACUGGGGCGGUCUCCUCCUAAAGAGUAACGGAGGAGCACGAAGGUUGGCUAAUCCUGGUCGGACAUCAGGAGGUUAGUGCAAUGGCAUAAGCCAGCUUGACUGCGAGCGUGACGGCGCGAGCAGGUGCGAAAGCAGGUCAUAGU